GCUUGCUAAUUUGCUGACGAGUGGCGCACGGGUGCGUAACGCGUAUACAAUCUACCUUUUGCUGAGGGAUAGCCCAGAGAAAUUUGGAUUAACACCUCAUGGUAUUAUUGAUAGGCAUCUAUUAAUAAUUAAAGGUUACGGCAAAAGAUGAGUAUGCGUCCCAUUAGCUAGUUGGCGAGGUAACGGCUCACCAAGGCAACGAUGGGUAGGGGUCCUGAGAGGGAGAUCCCCCACACUGGUACUGAGACACGGACCAGACUCCUACGGGAGGCAGCAGUGAGGAAUAUUGGACAAUGGGCGAGAGCCUGAUCCAGCCAUGCCGCGUGCAGGAAGACUGCCCUAUGGGUCGUAAACUGCUUUUAUACAGGAAGAAUAAGCCUUACGUGUAAGGUGAUGACGGUACUGUAAGAAUAAGGACCGGCUAACUCCGUGCCAGCAGCCGCGGUAAUACGGAGGGUCCGAGCGUUAUCCGGAAUUAUUGGGUUUA
rnacentral:rRNA from 1 species